CGGGGGGAGCAAGCGUUGUUCGGAUUUACUGGGCGUAAAGGGCGCGUAGGCGGCCACUGCAAGUCGGUUGUGAAAUCUCCGGGCUUAACCCGGAAAGGUCAACCGAUACUGCAGGGCUAGAGUGCAGAAGGGGCAACUGGAAUUCUCGGUGUAGCGGUGAAAUGCGUAGAUAUCGAGAGGAACACCUGCGGCGAAGGCGGGUUGCUGGGCUGACACUGACGCUGAUGCGCGAAAGCUAGGGGAGCGAACGGGAUUAGAUACCCCGGUAGUCCUAGCCUUAAACGAUGAAUGCUUGGUGUCUGGGGCUUUAUAGUCCCCGGGUGCCGUCGCUAACGCUUUAAGCAUUCCGCCUGGGGAGUACGGUCGCAAGACUG
rnacentral:rRNA from 1 species